GACGUAGGAGGCGAGCGUUGUCCGGAUUCAUUGGGCGUAAAGAGCACGCAGGCGGUUUGGCAAGUCGGAUGUGAAAACCCGAAGCUCAACUUCGGGCCUGCAUCCGAAACUGCCCGACUAGAGGUAGGUAGGGGAGAUCGGAAUUCCUGGUGUAGCGGUGAAAUGCGCAGAUAUCAGGAGGAACACCGGUGGCGAAGGCGGCAUUCUGGACCGACAUUGACGCUGAGGAGCGAAAGCCAGGGGAGCAAACGGG
rnacentral:rRNA from 1 species